UGGUAGGAACAUUUCUAGCAUCCAAAGAACAAAAGGGGAUGCGUAGUUUCUUAUCGGGCUCAUCCGAGGUAACAUUCCAGUCAUGGGUUUUCAAGUUUCUUAGCGAUUCGGGGAUGUGAAUUGGCUAUGUAUGGUGGCCUGCUAUUUUGUUUAAGUACUCAGGCUCAUCGAGUUUUCAGCUAGGAGGAUGUGGUCAAUGAAGACUGGGAGUUCUUUUGCACAUUUUGUAGGCUGCUCCACUCUUUUGUUAAGCAAUGAGUGCUUCUUUUAUAGGCUCUGCUUGACGGUUCAUGGAGAUGGAUAGUUUUGGUGAUAGCUGUUGCUUCACCCUUUUGUGAACUUUAGUUAAUGGAUGUUAAGAGGUGAUAUUUGUAGUCUGCUCUUAUGCACUUAUGCAAUCAGUUGUUAUGAA